rnacentral:misc_RNA from 1 species
AUAUAGUCAGUUCGAAAGCCUCCUGACUUAAAAUAAAACUACGGUUAA